rnacentral:rRNA from 1 species
AAUCAACGCUGGCGGCGUGCCUAACACAUGCAAGUCGAACGAGAAAGUGGAGCAAUCCAUGAGUAAAGUGGCGCACGGGUGAGUAACACGUGACUAACCUACCUUUUAGUGGGGGAUAACCUAGGGAAACCUGGGCUAAUACCGCAUAAUACUUACGAGUCAAAGCAGCAAUGCGCUGAAAGAGGGGGUCGCGGUCGAUUAGUUAGUUGGCAGGGUAAUGGCCUACCAAGACUGUGAUCGAUAUCCGGCCUGAGAGGGCGCACGGACACACUGGAACUGAAACACGGUCCAGACUCCUACGGGAGGCAGCAGUGGGGAAUUUUGCGCAAUGGGGGAAACCCUGACGCAGCAACGCCGCGUGGAGGAUGAAGUCCCUUGGGACGUAAACUCCUUUCGAUCGGGACGAUAAUGACGGUACCGGAAGAAGAAGCCCCGGCUAACUUCGUGCCAGCAGCCGCGGUAAUACGAGGGGGGCAAGCGUUGUCGGAAUUAUUGGGCGUAAGGGUGCGUAGGUGGUCGGCAAGUCUGUGUGAAAUCUCCACGCUCAACUGGAGUCC